CACCUCUAGCAUUACUAGUAUUAGAGGCACUGCCUGCCCAGUGACAUUAGUUAAACGGCCGCGGUAUCCUGACCGUGCAAAGGUAGUAUAAUCAUUUGUUCUUUAAAUAGGGACUUGUAUGAACGGCCACACGAGGGUUCUACUGUCUCUUGCUUCCAAUCAGUGAAAUUGACCUCCCCGUGCAGAGGCGGGGAUACACAAAUAAGACGAGAAGACCCUAUGGAGCUUUAAUUAACUAACUCAAAGAAAAUAUAAAUAACCGCCAAGGGAUAAUAAUCUUCUACCUGAGUUAGCAAUUUCGGUUGGGGUGACCUCGGAGAACAGAAAAACCUCCGAGUGACUAAAAUCUAGACUUACCAGUCAAAAUGUAGUGUCACUUAUUGAUCCAAAAUAUUUGAUCAACGGAACAAGUUACCCUAGGGAUAACAGCGCAAUCCUAUUCAAGAGUUCAUAUCGACAAUAGGGUUUACGACCUCGAUGUUGGAUCAGGACACCCCAAUGGUGCAGCCGCUAUUAAAGGUUCGUUUGUUCAACGAUUAAAGUCCU
rnacentral:rRNA from 1 species